GAUGAAGAACGUAGCGAAAUGCGAUAAUUAAUGUGAAUUGCAGAAUUUAGUGAAUCAUCGAAUCUUUGAACGCUCAUUGCGCCCCUUGGUGUUCCGGGGGGCAUGCCUGUUCGAGCGUCAUUUCAACCCUCAAGCUCUGCUUGGUAUUGGGCCGCGCCGGCGACGGCGGGCCUCAAAAACAGUGGCGGCGCCAUCUGGUUCCUCAGCGUAGUAAUUCUUCUCGCUGUUGGGCCCGGGUGGCCGCUGGCCAGCAACCCCAAAUUUUCUAUGGUUGACCUCGGAUCAGGUAGGGAUACCCGAUGAACUUAAGCAUAUCAAUAAGCGGAGGA
rnacentral:misc_RNA from 1 species